CGUUCCUGGGAAAGACCAGUUCCAAAUAAGCAACUGCCUACUUUCUCACGUAAAGAACCGGGCUAGUCGGUAAAAGGGAUGAAUGAAUUCUCUUCUGCUGUAUUUCAAGGAAGUCAAUAUUUCUAUGCUAAAUAAACAUUGAUUUAUUUAUUUACUGACUAUAUUUACAGCAUCAUGUAUGGUCCAAAGAAUUUUAGAAGAAAAAAAAAAAACAACAAGAAACUUAUCAACAACAAAAAAGUUAUGAUUCAUUUUGUCAAGUCAUUGAAACAUGUCAUUGUAACUUCUGUUUCAUUUCAGGCUCUUUCAUCACUCUUCUCCCUUGAAGAAGACCGGGCAGUUAUUGAAUGGGCACAGGCGAAUCUUAGCCACCCUUACCACAGAUGAACACUUUGAGCACCAUGGAGUGGAUUGUUGGUAAUCUGUCCGAGUCUCACCCAAACCUGAGCAAAGUCGCUACAGUGGGACUGCUUCUACCAACCUCCACAGCUGAUUGUGAGAGAGGUUUCAGCAGUUGAAUGUGUAAAGACCACCCACCAUUCACCGGUGAGCAUGAAAGUGCUUAAUGCCUUACUCAUGGUGUCCAUGCAGGGACAAAAACUGAAUGGCUUUAAUUUCAGUGGUGCCGUAAAGGAAUGGCACAGAGCCAAAGACAGACACUUACCGGUAUAUGAAAACAAAAAUGCCUAUGUGUUGUUAGUGUUAGUACAAAGACAAAGAAGUGGAAGGACAUAUGUGUUGUUC
rnacentral:lncRNA from 1 species